UUUCACUUUAUUUAUUUCAGUGAAAGAAGGUUAAAUUCUAGUGAUUGUCACAGUCACUAUGAAGCUUGUUAUCUGGUUAUGAUGGAUAAUACACAUAUAUUUCUGGAUUCCAAAGCACAGCUCAGGAUGCUUUGUGAUUGCCAACAUGUUCCACCAGAGGCAGGGCUGUCAGGGAAGACAGAUCAAGAGCUCACACAAGGGACUGCAGCUUUGGCCUCACUCCUGUGUCAUUCAAAGAGAUCUGCCAGAUGCUUAGAGCGUGCUUGGAGGAAAAGGAUAAAGAAGCCCAGACAGUUUAAUAGUAAAAGACCCCUGUACACCCUGAUUGUAAGCAAAAGACUAUAGCACUUACUAUGGGCAUAGACACUGAACCACAAGCCUUCUGCAUGAAUGAUCUCAUUUAAUUCUUACAGCAAUCCUAUGAGGUUCUUACAGAGUCUUGCUCUGUCAUCUACACUAGAGUACAGUGGCAUGAUCAUUUCUCAAUGGAGCCUUUGCCUCCAAGGCUUCAGCCUCUGGAGCAGCUGGGACUACAGGUGCAUGCCACCAUGCCUGGCUAAUUUUAAAAAAAUAAUUAUAGAGACAGGAUCUCAUCAUGUUAACCAGGCUGGUCUCGAACUCUUGGGCUCAAGUAAUCCUCCAACCUUGGCCUCCCAAAAUGUUGGGAUUACAGGUGUGAGCCACGAUGCCUGGCCUAAAAUUUUUUUAUAAUAUGGCAAUGUGGUAUAGGUACUUUCUUUCCACCUACUGCUAAAAAUUUUGAGAUACUUUACCCUCCAUCUCAAUUUUAAAUAUCAAAAGUAUAUAUCUAAUUGAACUAAAU
rnacentral:lncRNA from 13 species